rnacentral:rRNA from 1 species
UCCUACGGGAGGCAGCAGUGGGGAAUCUUAGACAAUGGGCGCAAGCCUGAUCUAGCCAUGCCGCGUGAUCGAUGAAGGCCUUAGGGUUGUAAAGAUCUUUCAGUUGGGAAGAUAAUGACGGUACCAACAGAAGAAGCCCCGGCUAACUCCGUGCCAGCAGCCGCGGUAAAUACGGAGGGGGCUAGCGUUAUUCGGAAUUACUGG